rnacentral:rRNA from 1 species
UACAAAGGAUGCAAGCGUUAUCCGGAAUGAUUGGGCGUAAAGCGUCUGUAGGUGGCUUUUUAAGUCCGCCGUCAAAUCCCAGGGCUCAACUCUGGACAGGCGGUGGAAGCUACCAAGCUGGAGUACGGUAGGGGCAGAGGGAAUUUCCGGUGGAGCGGUGAAAUGCGCAGAUAUCAGGAGGAACACCAAUGGCGAAGGCAGCUCGCUGGGACGGUACUGACGCUGAGACGCGAAAGCGUGGGGAGCAAACAGG